rnacentral:rRNA from 1 species
UACGUAGGGGGGCAAGCGUUGUCCGGAUUUAUUGGGCGUAAAGAGCGUGUAGGCGGCUACGCAGGUCCGCUGUGAAAACUCGAGGCUCAACCUCGAGCUGUCGGUGGAAACCGUGUGGCUAGAGUCCGGAAGAGGAGAGUGGAAUUCCCGGUGUAGCGGUGAAAUGCGCAGAUAUCGGGAAGAACACCCGUGGCUAAGGCGGCUCUCUAGUACGGUACUGACGCUGAGACGCGAAAGCGUGGGGAGCGAACAGG